GACGAACGCUGGCGGCGUGCUUAACACAUGCAAGUCGAACGAAAAGAGGGAAAGAGCUUGCUCUUUCCGGAAUUGAGUGGCAAACGGGUGAGUAACACGUAAACAACCUGCCUUCAGGAUGGGGACAACAGACGGAAACGACUGCUAAUACCGAAUAAGUUCCAAGGGCCGCAUGGCCCAUGGAAGAAAAGGUGGCCUCUACCUGUAAGCUAUCGCCUGAAGAGGGGUUUGCGUCUGAUUAGCUGGUUGGAGGGGUAACGGCCCACCAAGGCGACGAUCAGUAGCCGGUCUGAGAGGAUGAACGGCCACACUGGAACUGAGACACGGUCCAGACUCCUACGGGAGGCGGCAGUGGGGAAUCUUCCGCAAUGGGCGAAAGCCUGACGGAGCAACGCCGCGUGAGUGAUGACGGCCUUCGGGUUGUAAAACUCUGUGAUCCGGGACGAAAAGGCAGAGUGCGAAGAACAAACUGCAUUGACGGUACCGGAAAAGCAAGCCACGGCUAACUACGUG
rnacentral:rRNA from 1 species